UUGUCAAACACACUCAAGCUAAGAAUUUGAUUUACGUCCUCACAUUUGAAAGAAGAGUAAAAUAUUAACAAAGAGGCAGCCUUGGUAGCCCUCUGGAUAUUCACAGCAUAUAGACUUGAAAAGUUGUCGUAACUCAUUCAUGUAUUAAUUCAACACAGGUUUGUUAAGCACCAGUCACUACAUAGCCACAGAGGACAUAGAGGUGAGCCUGAUCUGUGGAUGACCAAGUCAUUUCAGCAAAGCUUUAUUGAUUGAGGGAGAAGAUGAGUGGAGAAUAAACAGCAAGACUGAGGGAGGAGGUCAGGAGAGGAUAACAAGCAAGACUGUGGGAGGAGAUGAGGAAUGACAACCAGCAAGACAGAGAGGAGGUGAGGAAAGAAUAACCAGCAAGACUGAAGGAGGAGUUGAGGAGAGAAUAACCAGCAAGACUAAGGGAGGAGGUCAGGAGUGGAUAAGAAGACUGAGGGAGGAGGCAAGGAUAGGAUAACCAGCAAGACUAAAGGAGAAGGUAGGGAAAGAAUAACCAACAAGACUGAAGGAGGAGGUGAGCACAGAACAACCAGCAAGACUGAAGGAAGAUGUAAGGAAAGAAUCACCAGCAAGACUGAAGGAAGAUGUAAGGAAAGAAUCACCAGCAAGACUGAGAGAGGAGCUGAGAAAAGAAUAACCAGCAAGACUGAAGGAGGAGGUGAGAGGAGCCUGGCCAAGUCCAGCAGAUCUGAACCCGUUUCCCAAAAGGUGAUGUUUAACUGAGAUUAAAGGAUGAAAAGGAAUGACAGCCAGGCAAAGGACACAGGGUCAGAGGUGUCACAAGGUAUAUCCAAGGAAAACCCAAGAUCAGACCUAAGAAAUCCUCAAUCCAUAGCCAUUCAGACAACUGAGAAACCUAGGAGUCAAAAUCAACCAAGGCGGCCCAGGAGUAGUGUGAAAGAAGAGAUAAACAUCUUUAUCUGAUUCACCCCGAACUGCUUCUCCCUUUCUUUCUCAAGAAUAAGAUCUAUAAUGAAUGCUGAGAAGGGGCUUAACAGGGGGAAUUUUCCUUUGAAGAGGCAAGAGCCAGUGUGAGACCUGAAGGUAAGAGCCAGCAUUCUCUAUCAGAGGAAAUGAAAGAAGGUCAGUAAAAGGAAAGGGUGUGAGGCUGGAGAGGAAGUAGGGUCAAAGCCUGCAGAGCCCUUUGGGCCAUGUAAGAAAUUUGUUCAAAAUCUAAGAACACGAGGAUGUGGGAGCUGAGCAGGGACAUAACGUCCCCCAUGUCUGUACUUUUAAACUAUCUCUCUGGCUGCAGAGAUUCUCAAGAAGCAAUUGUACAUCUGAGCAAUGAUAGUGCCCCAGGCUCAGGAUGGCAAAUAUAAGGAAGUGGGUGAAUUUGAGAAAUAUUUCAGAGAUAAAAUCCAAAGAGCCUAAUGAUUCAUAAAGCAUUUUUUGAGUUCCUGCUACAUGCCAAGCAUCUUCCUUUUUUAAUUCUCCUAACCAUUUUCUUAGAUUAUUUCUAUUAUUAUCUCCAUUUUCAAAAAAGAAGAAACUGAGCAAAUUUCCAAAGACCACCAGUUUAUAAAUGGCAGAGCUGAGAUUCAGGCCAGGCAUGAAAGCUCCAAUCCUCUUAUCCUUUCCUCUUAAACAUCAUGUCAUACCAUUUAGGUUUCUGGCUUAGGCAAUGGAAAGAGCGGUGGUGCCAUUUACUGAGGUAGAAAACACAGGAGGAUUUGGAAAUUUGGGUGAGAAGAAAAUUAUGAGUUCAGCUUUCAUGCUUGUGGGACAUCCAAAUGAAAAUGAGCAGUGAGUAGUCUGGAGCUCAAGGGAUAGAUUUGGGGGUGGGGGUGGGAACGGAGUAGACAUGUAGAUUUUAAAGUCAUCAGCAAAUAAGCAAGAAUCGCACUUCACGGCUUCCUCCUUGGGAAUGAUGCUGAAUUUGGGAGCAGAUUCAAUGCUUUCCAAGUGAAGAGGAAGUGGGAAGAUGUCAGUAGUAAUGAGCCCAGCUGAGCCAGGGCACCAGGAGCUCUAGCAAUGUCUCACCCAGCUCUGCUUCCAGGUCAUGCCCAGGAGACACUCAAGGGCAUGACGUUAGGCCCCUGGCGUUCUGCAGCCCCAGGCUUCCCAGGCAUUCUGUGGCAACACUGCAUGCCUGCGUUGUGGGAGCUGCCUUAACACUGAUUAACUCUUCCUUUAAAAAGUCACGUUUCUAUGUUGCCUGCCAAAAUGGUAACAGACAGAUAAUGUACUGUGUCACUAACACAUCCCUGUCUAUUUAAAAACCUCCAGAGAAGCAAGCAGAUGAGCUUGGAGUCAGCUCAGUGGUGGGAAUUAUUGCUUGGCUAAUUAUAAACAGUGUUGCCAGAACUCCAGAACAUGCUCAGGGGGGUACAGCCCAUCUUCCUUGAGGAUCUAUGGGUGACUUUUGAAAAUACCAACAAUACUCAAGACACAGGAAGUCAAGAGAUAACAUAACACCCUCGCACAAUUGUGAAUUGAGAAAUAGACCCUCAUUUGUGGGGUAGUAUGUCUGUCAGCUGGCCCCCAGUGAUCCUCCUCCUGGCAUUGUGCCCAGUAUGGUCCCUUCACCCUGUGAAUCAGGAUUGGCCCUGUGUGGCCAAUAGAAUAGAGCAGAAUUAUGUGAAUUUCAAGGAUUGCAGAUUUCACCUUGGUCUCUUGAAUCACUGACUCCGGGGGAAUUCAGACACCAUGUUGUGAGGUCACUCAGCAGUCCUAUAGAGAGACCAUGUGUCAAGAACUGAGACACCUCCCUCCACCCCACCACCCCACUCCCAACAGCCAGCACCAAUUUACCAUUAAGGAGUGAGACACCUUAAUAUUGAAUGUUCCCUUCUCAGUCAAGCCACAACUGACAUCUGACUGCAACCUCAUAAGAGACUCUCAAGCCAGAGCCACCCAACCAAGCCCCUCCCAAAUUCCUGACCAACAGCAAAUGUUAGGAAAAUAAAUGAUCACUGUUGUUUCAAGUCACUACAUUUUGGUAUGAUUUGCACAUUAAUGAAAAAAAUCAAUAAGAAGACUGGGUCCUGGGUAGGGAAAGAAAUAUUGAGUCCCUACUGUGCUGCAGGGACUAACAUACAUUAUCUCAUUUACCAGGCCUGCUUCACAGAUGAAUAAACCAAGGCACAAAAUACAUACAGUUGAAAAGCCUGCCCAAUUCCACAGCUAGGAAAUGCAGAACAAGGGUUUGAAUCCUGACCUGCCUGCCUUCAAAGCUCUGGCUAUUUCUCCCACAUGCUCUGCCUCCCUGGAAAUAAGCAGCCCAAAACACUGGUUCUAGCUCUGCCAUGACAUAGCUCAGUGAUUUGGGGGAAUGGUUCAUUCUUCCCCAGCUCAUUUUCUUUCCUGGAAAGUGGGACAGUUAGAGUCUUUGUCUGUUGAGGGUCCAGUUAGCUCUAAUAUCCUUUGACCCUGCGGCUCCAUCUCAUUGCCAGCAUCAUCUACCUUCCUCCUAGGACAGGCUGUUCUCAGACUUCCCUCUCGCUCUGGCUGUUCUCCACAGAUCAUGAGAAGUUGGUUUCGACUGUAGCAAAAUGAUCAUAGGUUAGCCUUUAAGAAAUCCCUAGAAGUUCUGAGAAACUUAGGAUACCAAGAAAACCUGAAAAAUUUUCUUCCCUGGAGGCUUUUCAAGAUAACAUUAUUAAGGAUUUGUUCAGGAGCUUUUAGGUUAGGUGAGCAAAUCAUAAAGAAAUGAAGCCAAAUCCAAAAGAAACGGGGUGGUGAGCUUCUAGUAACUUCUGGCUUGCACAUAGUAAGCAACUCAAGGAGAAUUCAUGGAUUGAAUACAUGAAUAAUGCGCCUUUUCAUUGUCAAGUAGAAAUGAGAUAUGUGACAGAGGGCAAGUUACUCAACCAUUCUGAGCCUCAGUUUUCUUAUCCAUAAAUAGUAAAUUAACUCAAAGGGACUGAAAUAAAUAUAAAAGACAGUAAUACAUAUAAAACCUUUCACAGAAUGUCUGAAAGAUAGAACGUGCUUAGUGAGUCCCUAUAUUCUGUUAAAGAAGAAUGACCAUAUUGAUUCAACAGAAAAUUAAGGACACUUCAUCAGUACCAUCAACAGUUGGAGUGCAGGCUCUUUUUGGUUCUAUGAACCUCUGGGAAGCAUUCGCAUCUGUGGAAAUGGAGUGAAUUUUGGAAGGAGAAGCCCAUGUUGUAGACUCAACAAUCUCUCCUGCCACCCCCUAGCACCUUAAUAGCACCUGCCUGCUGGGCCUUUCUUGCUCCAGCCCCCUCUUUUGCCACAUCCACCCUCAAAAUCCAUUUGUGACCUCAUCACUCAGGGCAUUUAAGUGCCACCCACCUCAGUUUGCCCUCUCCUGACCCAAGAUUUGGAAGUCUGUCAGCCUUCCCAGCCAGAUUAAGAUGCUGACUCUGAUAAAUGGCCUCUUUCAUCAGGGACUCCAGUAAGUGACCCAAACCAGGACCUUCCCUUCACAAAAGGACUUUCUUCCCACCAGCUACAUAGUAUAGCAGCCACCUGUGUACAUCUCCCAGGAGAAUGCCAAGAAGGGGCUGCUCCAUCUCCUCUCUGCUGCCCUUCUUCAGAUCUGACCCUCAAAACCUACCUACUCAGAAGGCUGAAUCUUGCUGUUCAGUCCACACAAGGAAUUUUUCAAGAGUGUUAGAUUCUGUACAGGUCUCUAGGAGGUGGACACAUAGUCGUAGUAAUUCCAUUCUGACCCUGAAGAUAACAUAAAUGCUUCCUAAUCACUCAUCCAGCGCAGGAAAGUGAGUUUAGAGAAGGGAUGUAGUCCUGGCAUUAUUAUCAUCAAGUCUAUUUAGUCCAAAGAGAGAUCUGUCAGGCUUCAUCAGGGACUGUUGAUGGGCUAACUCAGUUAAAAACUCUCACUUCAUUAGGCGGACGAGACUGUAAUGAUAUCUUCUAACCCAUAAGUAAAGGAUUAUAAUAGUUUAAUAAGCAAGGAGGGCUCCAGAACAUUCAAUAAUACAAUUAGGUUAGGCUCAGGAAGAAAAUAUGAUCACUGGAUAAAAAACAGCCCUUGUUUUUCAUUAGUCCUCACUAGUAUUGCCAGUGGAGAUGAUUUGUUUUCCUCCAAUAUCCUGACAUCAAAAGACCAGGAUAAACCAGGCUGUACCAGCCUUUGCAGUGGCCAGCUCAACUUCCAAUCUACUCAACGACUGAAACAGGAUUAAGGUGACCCUGAUUGCUUAGGCCUCCAGGUGCCUCAAAGAAGCAAAUGACAAUUCUCACUAGAGGCAGCAAACGUUAAGUAAAUUUAGAAUAAAAGCAUUUCCAGACAAACAAAACCAAGACAGUUUGUCACAACCAGAUCUGCCUUAAAGAAAACCUUAAAGUGCGUGUUUCAAGUGGGAGAAAAAUUAUUCCAGAUGAAAUGACACAGAUGGGGAACUGGAGCCGGGUGCAGGCAGUGGACGCGGUUCCGCAGAGAGCAGAAGAUGGCAGUGAACGUAUACUCAACGUCAGUGACCAGUGAUAAUCUCAGUCGACAUGACAUGCUGGCCUGGAUCAAUGAGUCUCUGCAGUUGAAUCUGACAAAGACUGAACAGCUGUGCUCAGAGGCUGCCUAUUGUCAGUUUGUGGACAUGCUCUUUCCUGGCUCCAUUGCCUUGAAGAAAGUGAAAUUCCAAGCUAAGCUAGAACACGAGUACAUCCAGAACUUCAAAAUACUACAAGCGGGUUUUAAGAGGAUGGGUGUUGACAAAACAAUUCCUGUGGACAAAUUAGCAAAGGAAAGUUUCAGGACAAUUUUGAAUUUGUUCAGUGGUUCAAGAAGUUUUUUGAUGCAAACUAUGAUGGAAAAGACUAUGACCCUGUGGCUGCCAGACAAGGUCAAGAAAUUGCAGUGGCUCCCUCCCUCGUUGCUCCAGCUCUGAAUAAACCAAAAAAAAACCUCUUAGUUCUAGUAGGGCAGCUCCCCAGAGGCCCAUCUCAACACAGAGAACUGCUGCGGCUCCUAAGGCUGGCCCUGGUGUGGUGCGAAAGAAUCCUGGUGUGGUGCGAAAGAAUCCUGGUGUGGGCAAUGGGGAUGACGAGGCAGCUGAGUUGAUGCAGCAGGUCAACGUAUUGAAACUUACUGUUGAAGGUUUGGAGAAAGAGAGGGACUUCUACUUCGGAAAGCUACAGAACACUGAAUGGAUUUGCCAGGAGAGUGAGAGGGAAAAUGACCCUGUAUUGCAGAGGAUUGUAGACAUUCUGUAUGCCACAGAUGAAGGCUUUGUGAUACCUGAUGAAGGGGGCCCACAGGAGGAGCAGGAAGAGUAUUGACAGGCUGGACCAGCAGAGCAACAUCCGAAUUCUUCACUCCAAAUCAUGUGCUUAACUGUCAAAUACUCCCUUUUAUUAUCCUUAGAGGACUCACUGGUUUCUUUUCAUAAGCAAAAAGUACCUCUUCUUAAAGUGCACGUUGCAGAUGUGUCACUCCUUUUCCAGUAAGUUCGAGUUAGGAGCUUUUACCCUGUAGCAGAGCAGUAUUAACAUCUAGUUGGUUCACCUGGGAAACAAAGAGGCUGACUGUGGGGCUCACUGUGCGGAUGCGGGUCACACUGAGUGCUGGAGGAGGGGUUAUGUUAUACGCUGAGGUGGCAACCUCAGUGGAGUAAUGUAAAGACUGAAUUGAAUUUUAAGCUAAUGUGAAAUCAGAGAAUGUUGUAAUAAAUAAAUGCCUUAAGAGUAUUUAAAAUAUGCUUCCAUAUUUCAAAAUAUAAAAUGUACAUGA